AGAGGUUCGAAGACGAUCAGAUACCGUCGUAGUUCUGACCAUAAACGAUGCCAACCGUCGAUCCGCCGGAGUUGCUUCAAUSACUCGGCGGGCAGACUCCGGGAAACCAAAGUUUCUGGGUUCCGGGGGGAGUAUGGUUGCAAAGCUGAAACUUAAAGGAAUUGACGGAAGGGCACCACCAGGAGUGGAGCUGUCUNNNNNUAAUUUCAUACACGGGANNNCUCACCCGGCCCGGACACUCGAA
rnacentral:rRNA from 1 species